rnacentral:rRNA from 1 species
UACGGGGAGCAAGCGUUGUUCGGAUUUUACUGGCGUAAAGGGCGCGUAGGCGGCCAGCACAAGUCAGUUGUGAAUCUCCGGCUUAACUCGGAAAGGUCAACUGAUACUGUGCGGCUGGAGUCCGGAAGAAGGCGAGUGGAAUUCCUGGUGUAGCGGUGAAAUGCGCAGAUAUCAGGAGGAACACCGGUGGCGAAGCGUCUCUGGAAUGUCUGACGCUGAGGAGCGAAAGUGUGGGAGCAAACAGG